GGAGAGGAAAUAGUGCCGUCAGGGAGCUUCCAGCCUAGCACAGGACGGUAAAUAUAAGCCUGUAACGCGAAACCCCACAGAACAAAAACAUCAGGCCGUGGAUUCCACUCGUGUGUACGUCAGUCACAGUGAUCAACCGACUCAUUUCCACGACGUUUCUUUUCACUUCAAGAUGCCAAAUUCAGGCUGCGGCGGUUUCCAUCUGUCCCUUCCUACACCGCGGCGCCCGCUGGGGAGCCGGGGCGCACACAGGACAGCCGCAAGCCUUCUGGGCCUGGCGCCCUCCCACACCCGCUAGGAGGGGAGGAAGCGCCUCCCCGACUCCCUGAGGAGGGCGCCAGUCCUCUGGUACCCGGAGAAGGAGGGCCGGGAGCUCAGUGAGCACUCCCUGUGAGUCCCAGGAGAUGGCCGCUCUCCCUCGGAAGCCGGAAGUCGGCUUCUAGAGGCCGAGCAGUGCAGACAAGCGGCUGGGAGGCACUGGAGAGGGGACAACGUACCCAUUCGGAUGUGCACGGUGGCGGAGGCCACGCUGCUGCCAUAGUUGAAGUCGUCCUCGAUCGAGGAGCGAGGGUACCGGGGGUCGGGGUCAGCCAUGAUGGCAACAGCACCCCUACCGGUCCCGGUCCACUAACCGCAACCGCCUCCUCCCCACUUCCGCGAGGAAGAGCCCAGCCCCAGCAAGCCGUGCGGCGUCGGCGGGCGAACACCGAGCGAGUCGAUUUUCUCGCUUCAAAAAUUCCAGCUGGGCGGAGAAAGCGGGGAUGGCUCCGAGUUAGAAUGGAAGAGAAAACGGUUUACAUUCCCGGCGUCAUCUGAAGUGAAACUUUUCUCAACACACUUUUUUUUUUUUUUUUGAGAUGGAGUUUCACUCUUGUUGCCCAGGCUGGAGUGCAAUGGCACGAUCUCGGCUCACCGCAACCUCCGCCUCCCGGGUUCAAGCGGUUCUCCUGCCUCAGCCUCCCGAAUAGCUGAGAUUACAGGCGCCUGCCACCACGCCAGGCUAAUUUUUUUAUAUUUUUAGCAGAGACGAGGUUUCACCAUGUUAGCCAGGAUGGUCUCGAUCUGCUGACCUCGUGAUCCGCCCGCCUCGGCCUCCCAAAGUGCUGAGAUUACAGGCGUGAGCCACCGCGCCCAGCCUGAACACACUUUAAGUCCUUUCACCUUGGAGAGUUGCUAAAGUGAUAGAACCCAUGUCCCAGUCACCCAUCCACUCAACAAAUACCCAUCUCAUUCAUCCACUUUUUCAAUAAUCACACCGAGGAUGCAUUUUUACUUCUAUUAUUUUAAAAUAAUAAUAAUACCUACAUUUAUUGAGCACUUUCUAUAAACCAGGCUUUCUGAAUGAAGUAAUAUUUAAUCCUGAAAGGCAAGUAGGAGCCAACCAGAGAAAGAGCAGUGAUGUAGGCUGGGCCUCAAGGGACCAACGUCUGCAAAGAGGGAGACGGUGAAGCUCAGCUGGUGUAGGGGACAGGUGGCAAAGAAUGAGGCUGGAUAGAUAAACAAAGGCCAGAUCAUCCUAGGCCAGAAGUAGAAUACAUUGAAGAGGGCCAUUACCAAAGGCAGAGAAAAGGGGAUAAAGUUGUAUUACUGUAAGAGAGAGAUGAUGGUGGCAAAUACAAUGGAUUAGAGUGAAUAUUCAUGAUAUUGUUGUCAUUCCAAUAUAAAGAGGUGUAGACAUACCCAGAGUA
rnacentral:lncRNA from 10 species